GAUGAACGCUAGCUACAGGCUUAACACAUGCAAGUCGAGGGACCGGCGCACGGGUGAGUAACACGUAACCAACCUGCCCUUUACUCGGGGAUAGCCUUUCGAAGGAAAGAUUAAUACCCGAUAUAAAGGAUGGGGAUGCGUUACAUUAGGUUGUUGGUGAGGUACCGGCUCACCAAGCCUUCGAUGGAUAGGGGUUCUGAGAGGAAGGUCCCCCACCAUGGAACUGAGAAACGAGCCACACACGUACGGGAGGCAGCAGGGAGAAAGAAUGGUAAAUGGACGCUAGACGCAACCAGCCAAGUUGCGUGAAGAAUGAAGGCUUAUGGGUCGUAAACUUCUUUUAUAUAAAAAUAUGUAUUAUACAAAUAAGGAUCGGCUAACUCCGUGCCCGCAGGCGCGGUAAUUC
rnacentral:rRNA from 1 species